UGCUGCAGAUGGUUUUCCUGAUGCUGUUGCGGUCGGAGGAGGAGCUCGGGGCCUCACUAUCUCUGGGAAUGGCUGCUGUUUCAUCAGGGGAGCUCCAACCUUUACCAUGAGCAUCACUUCCUGCCUCCAAUGUGGAUCCCUCACGUUGAUGGCGCAAAUUCUUCAUCUGACUGGAGUAGGUUUUCUGGCUUCCACAACUGGCCUUUGGGCUUCCAGGUGCAGAACUUCAAUAUGAACAAGAAUGAGACAUUGCCGUGGGCUCUAGACCACUGGCUGGACUUGAGCAGGAGAUUGCCUUGGACUCUAAGUCUUUAGCUGGAUUUGUGUGGGAAAUUGCUGGGAUCCAGGCCCUCAGCUGAAUCCUCUGGGCUUCUAGUGUGCAGUUACUCACUUUGCACUCCUUUGCAUUUGACUCUUUGGCACAGGAAACUGUUGGCCUGAAUGAAGGUGGGAGCCUCUUCAUCUCUCCUCACUGCAUCUCCAGACUACUCUAUCCGGUCUUCACCCAUAAGAAAGUGCACAGCCACAGGUCUGGACUUUGAGGCACAAUAAGAUGUUCGAAGUUCAUAUUAACACCUCCUCCAUGCCAGCCAUAGAACCGGCCAUUUUUCUAUGGAGCCCUAUCUUCUUUGGAAGAUUCCAUGCUAUAAGCCUACCCAAAAUGACAACGCCUGGCACCUAUGGAGGGCCUUUAGAUAGACCCUCUGUAGAGUAACUGACUGCUGAUCACAACUACAACUGAUCACAACUUCAGCCAGAAGUAGCCAGAAUGGUCUUUGCUCUUUGCCCCCUCACACCAGUUAGAGGUUCUUCAGAGGGGGGAAUAUUGCAGAUAGGUAAGUUUAUUAGAUAUCUUGUAGGCAGAUAGACAGAGCCAGCCCAGGAGGAGCCAACAUGGCAGACAAUCAAGACACAUUCACUGAAGGCCAGCAUUGUAAGAGAAGAGAAACUACUACACCCAGGUGCUUCCCCUAAGGAUAAAUAGGUAUCAGCCACAUGGGUGGGAGACAAAGAUCUUCCAGGAAAGAUCCUUGACCCACCCUUUUCCACUAAAAAUCCUUGCUCAUUCUUUGUAUGCUUGCUAUGUGACUUGUUUCCCCAUUGGAUCCCUAUUUAAUCAGUAUUACCUAAGCAACUAUACUUGUCAUAAUCUUAUUGGUUUUCAU